UACCUGCAGCUCGAGUGGUAACCGCUAUUAUUAGGCCUAAAGCGUCCGUAGCCGGUUUGGUAAAUAUCUGGGUAAAUCGUGAGGCUUAACUUCACGAAUUUCGGAUAGACUGCCAGACUUGGGAUCGGGGGAGGUCAGAGGUACUCCAGGGGUAGCGGUGAAAUGUUGUAAUCCUUGGAGGACCACCGGUAGCGAAGGCGUCUGACUAGAACGAGUCCGACGGUGAGGGACGAAGCCCUGGGGCGCAAACCGGAUUAGAUACCCGGGUAGUCCAGGGUGUAAACUAUGUGGGCUUUGUAUUGGAGGUCCCACGUGGGCGUCCAGUGCAGAAGAGAAGUUGUUAAGCCCACCGCCUGGGAAGUACGGUCGCAAGGCUGAAACUUAAAGGAAUUGGCGGGGGAGCACAGCAACGGGAGGAGCGUGCGGUUU
rnacentral:rRNA from 1 species